rnacentral:lncRNA from 1 species
UCCCCCUCCCUCUCUUCCUCACUCUCCUCCUCUUCCUCCCUCUCUUCUUCUUCCUAUCCUCCUCUUCUUCCUCUUCCUCCUCCAGGUCAGAUUUUGGCUAAUGAAUGUCUUCAGAGAGAUUUGCAGGGCAUCAUCUCUGGACUGCAGGAGUAUCUGAGAGGACUCAGAGAGCAGGCUCGUCGUGCUCAGCAGCAGGUUCUCAGUCUGCAGCUCAACCUGGAGGACAGUGCCAGGACACACAGACAGGUACGUGUCUGACAGGGAGAGUGUUGUUAUCAUAUGUCCCUGGUUAAUACGUCUGUCUGUCUGUCUGUCUGUCUGUCUGUCUGUCUGUCUGUCUGUCUGUCUGCAGGAGCUGUCUGUCCAGCAGGAGGAGGCUGAGGCUCUGAGAGACAGACAGGUGGAGCUGGAGGCGGAGCUAACCCGACAGGCGGCAGCAGACGAAGAGAAGCAGAGCAGAGAGUCUCAGCUACAAUCAACCAUCGACACACUGCAGGUCAGAACACACACGCACACACACACACACACACACACACACACAGACACACACACACAUGAUAAAACCUGUCUGUCUGUCUGUCUGUCUGCAGGAUGAGAACUCUUCUCUUCAGCAUGCAGUCCACAGCCUUCAGGUCCAGCAUGAAGACACCAGAACCCAGCUGGACCAGAUCACAGCGGCCAUGUUGGAUCCUCAGGAGCUUCAGAACGGACCAGAGGACAAGUACAGGCCUGAGGACAUGUUGUCCAGGAGUGUGGAGCAGCUCUACAGGGCGAUCCAGCAGACCAGAACCGGCCAGGAACACAUCUCCACACUGCAGGCCCGCGGGGGCGCUGCGGAGCUGCAGAGACUGAGAGUCAGAAACAGACACGCUCAACACAAACUGGAGGUGGAACUGGAGCAGAGCGGUGUGCAGCUGCAGGACGUCCAGCAGGAGAGAGACUCGCUGCUACACCAGCUGCGUUCACAGAGCGACGGUCACCAGCGGAGCCUCGGCCGUCUGAACAGGAAACUACGGCAGCUCAGCAGGUCCAUGUGUGACUCUGAUCAGCUGACAGCAGAGCAGCUGAGAGCGCUGGCACACAUGGUGCAGGACACUGUGGACAAGAUCGACGGCAGAUUUCACGAACACACAGCGCUGCAGUGUGAGCACACACACACGCUUGAGGAGCUGAGGGCCGAACUGGAUAAAGCUCAGAGACACACACACAGACUGAGACAGAAGCUGGACCGGACCAGAGCCAGAGAGGGAGGACAGUGGUGCUUCAUACCUCCUGGACACACUGUGAGACUUUAA